UGCAUGCUGCCAUUAGUCACCAGGUUGACCCGGAAUUCCUUGGUUUAGGUCUGGGCAGCGUCCUCCUGAACAGCCUGAAGCAGACGGUGGUGACCCUGGCCAGCAGCGCGGGCGUGCUGAGCACCGUGCAGUCGGCCGCCCAGUCCAUGCUGCAGAGCGGCUGGUCCGUGCUGCUGCCCAGCGCCGAGGAGCGGGCCCGGGCACUCUCUGUUCUCCUGCCCUGCGCAGUUUCAGGCAAUGACGUGAACGUAAGUCCAGGUCGUCGAUUCAUGAUUGAUCUUCUGGUGGGCAGCUUGAUGGCUGCUGGAGGGUUGGAGUCAGCCUUACACGCAGCCAUUACUGCAGAGAUCCAGGAUAUUUAAGUGAAAAAAGAAGCACAGAAGGAAAAAGAAAUUGAUGAACAGGAAGCAAAUGCCUCAGCAUUUCACAGAAGCAGGACUCCAUUGGAUAAAGACCUUAUUAAUACGGGGAUCUGUGAGUCUUCUGGCAAACAGUAUUUGCCUCUGGUUCAGCUCAUACAACAGCUUCUUAGGUAAAUCGUAUUAGCUGUAUUGUAUUGUAUUUUGUUUAUUUACUUUUUUGUUUUUUUUGAGACAGCAUUUCACUCUUGUUGCCCAGGCUGAGUGCAAUGGCACGAUCUUGGCUCACCGCAACCUCCGCUUCCCGAGUUCAAGUGAUUCUCCUGCCUCAGCCUCUCAAGCAGCUGGGAUUACAGGCGUGUGCCACCACACCCGGCUAAUUUUGUAUGUUUAGUAGAGACGGGGUUUCUUCAUGGUGGUCAGGCUGGUCUGGAACUCCCGACCUCAGGUGAUCUGCCCGCAUUGGCCUCCCAAAGUGUUGGGAUUACAGGCAUGAACCACCACGCCCGGCCUAUUUAUUUACUUAUUAAUUUUUUUUAAUUUUUGUUUUCUGAGAUGGGGUCUCACUCUAUCACCCAGGCUGGAGUGCAGUGUCAUGAUCUUGGCUCACUGCAACCUCUACCUCCUGGGUUCAAGCACUUCUCCUGCGUCAGCCUCCCAAGUAGCUGGGACUACAGGCGUCUGCAACCACACCUGGCUGAUGUUUGUAUUUGUAGCAGAGAUGGGGUUUCAAAAUAUUGGUCAGGCUGGUCUCAAACUCCUGACCUUAGGUGAUUCUCCUGCCUUGGCCUCUGAAAGUGUUGGGAUUACAGGUGUUAGCCACUGUGCCUGACCUGUAUUGUAUUUUAGUAGGUGAUUAUUGGUUUUCAUAUUAAGAUCGUGAAAUCUAUCACAAGGAUCUCAAAAAUUUGUUUGGUGAUGGAGGGAAUUUUCUGAAAAUUACCUAGUACAGGUGUUAGGAUAAAGAACAGACCCUUUUCAACAUAGGUGAGAGGAGAAGUUGGAGGGUAUGAUGAUACUCAAAAGUUUUUCACAGAAGAGAAAUUGGGGUGUGCAGUAAACAUGUGAAAAGAUUCCUAGUAAUAAGCAGGUGGAUGCAAAUGAAAUCAUCAUGGGAAGGUUAUUUUUAAAACUGGUUCUAUCAUUGCCUCACUUUAUAUAUUACAGAGUUAUACAUACUACUGUGUAAGAUAACUUUUCUUUUCAAAACUAAAGUCAAUGUGAAAGAAUGAUGAGCGUUGUUUUGUAAGGCCAGACUAGGAGGAGGUGGGAAGAAGUCAGACUCAGCCUGUGAACAGAGGCUAACCUUGGCAGAAGCCAAAAGGGUCAGACAGUGUUGUGUAAAAAUGAUCACUCGAGCGGAAAAGCAAGAUCAUUUGUGAAAGAGAUUUAUUAGAAAAUGAAACACAUUUGUACCUCUAUUUAAUAAAAAUCUGCUUUU